CCUGUGUCUUCUUUCUCUUCUCCAGAAGAAGAGGAGUGGGUGACCCAACGAUGAGGAUCUAAUGGGUGACCCAGUGAUUAGGACAUAGGCAUCUGGCAGGUGUCCAGAAGAGAUGAAGGUGAUGCUGCACAUCCUGGAACUGGCCCGGUGGAGCUGAGAGUGGAUGGAUGGAUGGACCAAGUGCUGCUGAUCCGUGGCAGUGAGGCUGUGCAUUGUAUGUGGAACUGCUCACGUGAUUCCUGUCGAGCCAUAAUAUUCUUUCAGAAAGAGAACUGACCAGAUGCCUUAUUAUUAUUGCUCACAAUGCUGUCCUCAGUGUACAACAAUCCAUCACGGGGCUCGGCACAGCCCUACAGAAAAGUCCCUGACACGUUUUUACAGAAGGGCCAGGUUCUCACCGCUUGUGUGCAUUUGUAUCUCUUGACAAAUAGCUGUUUGACUUCAGUUUUGUUCCAAGACAGUGGUGUCAAGCGCAGGGCUCCUAUUCAAGUGCCCACCAAUGGUGGUGCACAACUCACUGCUUCCUCUUCUUUUCUUGCUUUGUUUCCUUGUGACAGUCACCAUUUCUUUUUUUUCCCCUUCUUCUCACGUAUCUCAUAGGUUUGCUUUAAAGAUGGUUUUAAAGGAUAUAUUCAAAAAGAAUGCCUUUAGUAAGAACUGUAAAAAUGGUUCAGGACUAGAUGUGAUGGGUAGUUGCCAUUUGCAUGGGUUGCUGAUAUGACUCUUAAUUAUAUUUUGGUCAUUUUUCCACGUUGAUUAGCAGACUGGCUAACAACACCUUGGAUGUGUUGAGAAAUACACAGUUAAGGAGUGUCUGAACAGGGUCUCCUUCAGAGGAAUCCAAGUCAUUAUUUGAGUGUACCACUCUUGAAGUUGUCUCAGUGGAGCUCCCAGGGGAGGGAUGAAGUCCACACGCAGCAGUGUGUGCAGCCCUGGCUGUGUAAUGCCAACCUGGUUGUUAAAUGUUUUGCUUUAUAAAUGAGGAGUCUUUCAUAUUCUCCAGACUGUGUCUGUCAUGUUUUUUCCCUCUGACUUUAGCGAGUAAUUUGUGUUCUCAAAGAGCAUUUUCCAUCACACGAGCCUGAAAUGGAAGAGGAUUUAUGGAAUGGAGAGCAUGAGGCACCAAUUCAGCAAAUACCAGAGUGUGUAUGUAAGUGUUUGCAGGUCUAAAUAUGCAAGUGGUCUUGAUCUUCUUAAGCUGCUCCAUACUGCUGACUCCAAAGGCCGAUGUGAGAACCUGCACACAGUUUGCACGUGAAGAUUUUUAGAAGUUUUUGUGUAAUGAGAGCUUUGUCACUGUGUUGACUGAGUAUUAUCUCCCACUCACUACUAUUCUCAGCCUGUUUAAUAGAUUUACUGCUACUGAGCACCCUUGGCAGAUGCAGAACAUCAUGUUGUUGGUGCAGAGGCCUCAUUACUUUCUUAAGAUCUUCAGCUUCCAAUCUGUUACAUUUUGGCAAGUAUAUGAUGGUGUAUCUGACCUAUUAUUGUUUCUUUCUUCUUCUGACCUCUCGAUGCAUCCCAGCCAUGGUUCGUCAUUACAGAGGCUGUUGGUGGCCCUGCCUUUGCUAUGAUACUUCCUCUGGAGUUCAGCUUCGAAGUUAUCUCACAUCAUCAUUGCAAACCUUUUUUCAAGCCAGAGACCUGUCUGUAAUUCGUAGCUUACCAGGGUCUGCAGGCCAGAGGCUGAGAAGUACUUCAUCAAAGGAGCUGAGUGCUGGAGAUGUGGCUGAGAUAGAAAUGAAGGUCUAAAGUCCCAAACUGGAAGCCACCGAGGCCUCCUUGCUCAACUCCCUCCUGAUGCUAAAAAGAAAGUUGGAUUGAAAUGAAGAAAAGCGAUGUGGUGUAGCCCAAGACCUGUGCCUGGGGAGCCACGUCCCAUCUCUUCAUGUGAUGCCAUGAGGCAGAUAGAGCUCAUCCAUCACUCUGAGGCAUGUGUCUGAGCCUUCUAAUUAGGCAGCAAAAAGGAUGGAGCAGCACAAGGCCAAGCAUCAAGGCAGAAGAUGUGGAAGAGAAGGAGCUCUGACCCAUAGAGGAGCAAGAAGCUGGAAAAUGCCAUUUGGUAAUGGAAGACCAUUACUAAAGUAACAACGGAUGGGACUACUUAUUCAUGAGCUUUAGCCACAGAAAUUUCCCUCUGCUUCAAGAGUCCUGGCGUGAUCUAAAGAGAAGAAAAUGCAAUGUUUUCAUUGAACAACAUGCCUUUUGUUUAGAAUGGGAUCCUGGGGUGCUAAGGAAAGAAGACACCAACCUGCCAUUGAGGUGGAGAAAGGAGAGCCUCCCAGUCUUAGGGAGAGGGUAUCGAUACUCAAGCAGCCUUAAACAAUGGACUCAGAGCUGGUGGCCCCAUCUAUUAGGGGAGAGAUGGAUGAAAACCAAACACAGAUCAGGAAGAAAAGUCAAACUUUAUUUUCACUGAGUUCUGGUGAAGAAUCAGAGAUGUGGAAGUGACCUUUUGGAAAUGGACCUUCUGAUGUUUCAGACUAAACUCCUGCAGUGAAAUUGACAGGUUGUGGCCUGAACCAAUGAUUGAGCACCAGGUGAGGAGACAUGGCUAACAUAGAGAGCUCAGGUGCAAGCAGUGUACCUGAGUGACCAGAAUCACCCUCAUUCAAGAUGAGCAGUGGAAGGAGCAGCAUUUCUCCGGAUAGAAAUCACACUUCUCUUGAGCUGCUACUGGUCGUCGGAAAGGGUGGAAUUCGAUGCCCAAAUGGGAUGGGCAGGACCUCCAGCAUGCCCUUCAUCAGCAGGAGCCCUGGAAGGCCAUACAGCAUCCUGUGGAAAUCACAGCAUCGUUUGCUGCUGAUGCUUAACUUGGAUGGUCAGAAAACCUAUUGAUCAAGAGGCUGCGUCCUAUAAAAGGGAGAAAUAGGUCAGCAGCCUUCUCUGCCACCAAAUAAUUCCUCUUCCUCCUUGGUGUGAAAUCCUGGCUAUGCUGAAGUCAAUGGAAGUCAACGUCAGCUUCAACAAGGCUACAAACAAGGUCAAAAUAACCAUUCUGGAUAAUAAGAGAGCUCCAUCACAUCAACUUGCUGCGUAAUUCCCUUCUGUCAGGCUGGCUUCAUAGGCUUGGCUUUUGUUGUCUGCCUCUCUACCAGAUUAAAAGACCCUUGCAAGCUACGCAAGUGAAAUCUACAAGCAAUGAAGGAUAAGUCCCACGUUCUCAAGGAAAAAAUGAGGAAUUUAGAUGCUAAAAAAUGGAAAAGCUCCAGCAAUACCUGUGUUUACCUCUUGUCUCUCUGGAGAUACCUUUACUGUUUCUAUAUGAUCCAGGAUUGUGUUUACUUGAGAGAACUGAGUGGUGAUGGGACCGUGGUCUUAUGCAGACACGUAUCUCUAUGUGGAAGGCAUUAGGAGGAGCUGAGUCCAUUGCGUUUGCUCUUAGGCCUUGGGAAAGAAGCCUGGGAGCUUCACAUCCCUCCGUGCAAGGAGGAGAUGGGAAAAGCUCAGCACAGACCACUCUGUCUAAAGGCUUUCCCAUCACACUGGUUUUAUUUGUGUUUUGAGAUAACUCAAGAACCGCCGUGGCGUGCUUACAGGCCUGUGGUUGGGCUGGGAAUCUCAGGCAGGGUCAGGGCAGGCAGUUUGCUUUGGCAGGCACGGUGUGAGCGCAUGGGGUGAGGGCUGACCACCUCCUUCACUCCACAUUGGCGGGUUGGCCAUUUUCCUUGGGUGGAGGCCAGCCAGUCCUGCUAGAUUCACAUUACAGGGCUGUGUUUGCGCUCUUCUCCAUCAUCCCAGGCAUCCAGAUGUGCGACAGACGCACACACAUGCAAUGCACUGUGGAUGCUGUAUUUUGGCUGCAGCUGAAGUAAAUAUUAUUUCUAUAUCAUGAGGAAGAUGAAAUAAUACCUCUGGAGGAUUUGGAAGAAAGGCGGAGGAGACUCAGUUUAUCAUGGUCUGCCCUUAGCUUUUUUUCUCUUGAGCACAUUGUCAUGCAACAAGAAAUAAAGCAGGAGGAGAAAAUGCAGCCUACUUAUGAAAGGGAUUUUGGCCUUCAAGCAAAUCCUGCUGAUGGAGCCCCCGCUGAAUGGAAUGACUGAGACCCUUGGAAGCUUCAAGGUACUUUAUGACAUCAAGUGGAUUCAUGCUCAACCCAUGGUUAUUUUUGGAGGUAAGUGACUGAUUUCUGUGCAGACUCCUAUGCCUGGUUACUGGAUGACUUGGGUGGUGGGUACUUUGGCCAAGGGGUGGUAGGAAGAUGUCCAUGGUGUGACACCUGUUGGCACUGAGCUGGCAAAGGGACACAAGCUCCAUCACAAAACACAGCACCUGAACACGUCUGUUGGACUCGAGGUUAAGGCUGCAUCUGCUUAUUGGAAACAGAUUUAAGAAGCAGAUGAGAUGGCAGGAAUAAAUCUGCCCAGGGAAGGGUCAUUUUCCAUAACACCUGCUUGUUAUUGUCUUCUGCACAGCGCGGAGUUCUUUUACAACCUUGCAUUUGGGGAGCUUGGCCAG